rnacentral:rRNA from 1 species
UUCUGGCUCAGGAUGAACGCUAGCGACAGGCCUAACACAUGCAAGUCGAGGGGUAGCGUGAGGGAAGCUUGCUUCCCUUGGCGACGACCGGCGAAUGGGUGAGUCACGCGUGUCCAACCUGCCCCGUGCCCGGGGAUAGCCCUUGGAAAUGAGGAUUAAGACCCGAUAUGUGGCGCUUCCGCAUGGCGGCGCCAUGAAGCAGGCACGGGAUGGGGACGCGUCGGAUUAGCUUGACGGCGGGGCAACGGCCCACCGUGGCGACGAUCCGCAGGGGUUCUGAGAGGAAGGUCCCCCACACUGGCACUGAGACACGGGCCAGACUCCUACGGGAGGCAGCAGUGAGGAAUAUUGGUCAAUGGGCGGGAGCCUGAACCAGCCAAAGUAGCGUGCAGGACGACGGCCCUACGGGUUGUAAACUGCUUUUCCGGGAGGAUAAAGUGAGCCACGCGUGGUUCAUUGCAGGUAUCCCGGGAAUAAGGACCGGCUAAUUCCGUGCCAGCCGCUGC